AUGGAGGCGGCGUCGGCGGCGACGGCGACGAUGGUGUUCGUGUACGGCACCCUGAAGCGCGGGUUUCCCAACCACCCCCGCCUCGCCGCCUUCGACUGCCCCUUCGCCGGCGCGGCCUCCACCGCCGCCCCAGCCUCCCUCGUCAUCGGGCCCUACUCCGUCCCCUUCCUCCUCCCCGUCCCGACUCCGUCCUCCGGACGUCUGGUCUCCGGCGAGCUCUACUCCGCGUCUCCCAGCGCCCUCGCCGACCUCGACUUGCUAGAGGGCACUCACCUCGGCGUCUACGAGCGCCGGCGGAUCACCGUCGUGGUUGACGGGGCAAUCAAAGAGGUGGAGGCGCAGGCUUACUUUGCGAACGCGAGCUACGCGGAGGCCCUGUGGCUGCGCUGCGGCGGCGAGGCGGCCGAGAUCGCGGAGUACACCAUGGAGCACGCGGGCAGGUACGUCCCGCCCAGUGGCCGCUCUCCCGGCGUCUCCGGGCUCAUGGAUGCCGUCCGUGCCUUCCUCGCCACUGCUCCGCCAGAAAAUUGA
rnacentral:rRNA from 1 species